AUGAGGAUGGUCAAAUUGAAGACUGAAGCAGCGCUUGCCAAGGUCGGCCAUGGACUCCAUGUGGCCAAGCAUGACUGUCCUCUUCUUUUUCACUCUCUCAGCAGCUCUGGACACUGUGGACUGUGGCUUGCUUGCCAAACACUCUCCCAACUUGGAUUCUGGAACGUCACACUUCCUCGGCUCUCCUCCCACGCCCUGACCAGCCUGCUCUGCCUCCUCUCCCCUCUCAGAGACCCUAGAUGGAGACAUUCUUUAGCCCAGCACCUGGACCAGAGCGUCUCUCCAUGCCCUCUGGGGAACCAGUGCCAGCUCUGGAAGCCUGGGAAUUCCUGGACACUUGGUACAGUGAAUCGAAGAUUAUCUUUGCAGCCUCUGCUAAAUCUGCAAAACACAUCGGCAUUUUGAUUGCUAAUUAGUGUACAGAGAGAGAUGGUGUCUUCAACAACGAUUUCACAUAAUACAGUGAAUUUAAUUGAAAUGCAUACAUUUCAGAAACACUCUAAUUUGUAAACAUUCUUUGGAAAUCUUCUGUCUAUGCCAAAAUAUUUGUAAGUAGUGCACAUCCAGAGAAACUGGCAUCUCCCAAGCCUCUCUCGUGUGUGUUUCAAGGUAGAACUUGUGGGUCCUGCAACCCUAUGCGCUUCUCCAUCCACCGCACUUGCCUCACCAUGUGUUCAUCUUCUGUUUACCUGUUAGCUCCUCUUCUAGACUCUGAGCCAUUCAUCCUUCAUUCAUUCAUUCAUCAAAUACUUGUUGACAACCUGCUAAGUGUCAAGGCUCUCUUCUAGAAACUACGGAUAUAGUGGUAAACAAAAUUUGUGGAGCUUAAAGAUAGAACCAUAACAAAUCAUAAUAACACAGUCAAAAUUAGGCUCCAAGAUCUAUGCAUUAGGCAAAAAUGCCCUGUUUUCAUUGAUUCCCAAAGAAAUCCCAGUAAUAUGUGUAUGCACAUAAUGCUUUAAAAGCAUAGCAGGAUUUCAGGGCUGGAAGGGCCCAGAGAUCAUACAUUCCAAGCUCACCCCCUUUUCUAGAAGCUCCCCAGGACAUGGCUUUCUUAUGGUGGAUCACAAGAGGGCCAGAGGGCAAGGCCAGCAGUGCCUGUGCCAUGGUCUUAAUGUCCCACUGUCCAAAACAAGUCACCAGCCAACCCCCAAACCAAGGGGCAGUGAAGAGCUGGGAACACUGACCUGCUCUUCCAGUGACCCGUCUUGCAGCAAGGGUGCUGUUCCCUCUGCCUUCCACUCUUCUUCCUCUGCUCGCUCCUAUUGUCUCUAACACUCAAUCCAGACACCACCUUCUCUGAGGAGCCCUCCCUGGGUCAGAUGCCCCCUGCUGGCCCCAUGCCCUCGGCUUACCUCUUCUGUGGCAGCAACCAGGGUUUAUUGAAAUCAUCUGUUCACAUGUC
rnacentral:lncRNA from 1 species